ACAAGUGUUUCCAUGGCUGCUUCUUCACAGUGUUUAUGGUAUAUAUGCAGCCAUUAGGCACAGGAAUCCAGCCAGAUAAAUUAAGGAGAAAUGCUCAUCUUUCAUUUACAUCCAGGCUUCGGAACACUGGAAACACUAAAUGCAACUCAGGCUAUUCUUCCAUCUGCUUCUAUCUGCUCUUCCAGAGACCAAACAGCCAAUAUGUAGAGAGUACAGCAUUAAUCAUUCAUAUAAAAGUCUGUGUCAUUAAAGUACCUUCAGUGGAUUGUUGUUCAUGGAUUUCAUUUGGCUCUGUAUUAGGAGGCAUAACCGGUCACAUGUCUCUGAUAGUACAGCCACAGGAGAAAACAACACUUACAAAGUAUCUAGCAGAAACAGUAGAAAACGUGGUCUACGGAUGUCAACUGGAAUCAUUAUAUGGUAUCAUGUACAGUGAAUGAUCAGAGUCUGGUAACGUAGUAAUGUGAACACUCAGAAGGUGUGCAAAAAACUUUGUGGGAGAUGAAUGGCUAGCAUCUGAUCUGAAACUAUCUCAAUUUUUCAGAACAUGCUAAUUUCUAUUACAAAUGCACAUGGAGUUAAACUUGAGUAGCACAAUGAAUUAGAAAUAGAUGCUAGGAUGGGGCACCUGGGUGGCUCAGUCGGUUAAGCGUCCGACUUCGGCUCAGGUCAUGAUCUCGUGGUCCGUGAGUUCGAGCCCCGCAUCGGGCUCUGUGCUGACAGCUUGGAGCCUGGAGCCUACUUUGGAUUCUGUGUCUCCCUCUCUCUCUGUUCCUCCCCUGCUCGCACUCUCUCUCUCCUUCUCUCAAAAAUAAAGAUUAAAAAAAAUUAAAAAAAAGAAAUAGAUGCUAGGACUUUUCCCUAAUGAAACACACCUGUCUGUUUAUAGCUGUUAGACUCCUUGGCAUUACCGACAGACUCUAUGCUACAGUUCGACAGAGUGGUGAGGUAUUUGGCUCAGUAAAAAAUAUGAAAGCUAGCCAUCUCAGCACCGGUUUUCGAAGUAAGAUACAUGCAUGCACUGUGGUAUGCAAAAUCUUAGAAUUUCUAUUUAAAACUAACUUUUACCUAAAAAAUGGAAAAAAAAAUAUUAGGUUCCGCUAAUAAUGUACAGACUGUAUGCAGAACAUGUAUAAAUAUACAAAAUAUCAGGAAGCGGACGCUCCCUCUGAUAGGGGAGGUCAAUGAAAAAUGCACAGAGACCCCUGCUUUAAGGAACACAGCCUCCUGAAGGAAGGAGCCUUCUCUUCCCUUCAUGUUCUAUUCCGGUAUAGUUUUUUACGUGUACAUGGUCACUGGCAUAAAGGAAGUACAGGGGAAAAGGCUAGGUCAGCAAGCAACUGGAGAAGACAGAGAAAUGGGAAUGUGAGCAAGCCAAGUCCAGAAGACAGCCGCACAAAGUACCUUGGUGCAGCUGUAAUGACAGGACAGAGCAGACAGUCACACAGCCUCAUCACGCUCUUAUCAAGACACCGAGAACCACAAAGACUCUCUGAAAAUGAUCACGGAGGUUCAAAAGCUAUUUUCAGUGAAGAGCUGGGAAAGCCUAGCACAAGUGUAGUCACAUAACAGACAUCUUUCAAAACAAAACAUGUGUUUCUUGGAGAACAAGUGCAAAAAGGGUUCCUUGGUGCAAAAGGUGGAAGCUCUUACGAUAGUCUCUAACUUGCCUGAAUGGCAGCUUGAAUUCCCACGGAAAGUAUCUAGUGCAGGGGUCGGCAUAUAAUAGGUGCUUAAUAAAGCUUUGCAGAACAAACAGAUGGAAUACAAAACUGCAUACCCACAAACAUCGAACUUAAAACCCACGCGGUGUAAAGCUCUGUAUCUGUUACCUAGAUGUUUAUUGCAUAGGUAACUUUUCGAAUCUAAAAGCCCAGGGGACCACAACUUAUCAGAAUUUUCUGCCUCCUGAGUCCCUGGAUCUCUGGUUUAAUUAACUCUAAUAGCUCUGGGAUCCUACUCAUCUUUACCCGAAAGCUUACCUGAGUGCAAUAUAAACAAGUAGUGAAAUGUCCACAGAAGGAAUAUAGUAAAAUCUGAGCAGAAGCAAAGACGGCGGGGGAUGAAUAGUUGAAGCUUGAGAUUUUCAGGGCAGCGAAACUAUUCUACGUGUUGUAAUAGUGAUUGCAUGACAUCACGCAUUGGUCAAAAACCCACAGGCCAUCUGAUCCAGUAAUUCCAAUUCUGGGCAUAAAAAAAUUGAAAGCAGCGACUCAAGCAGGUAUGUUUAUACCAAUCUUCAUUAGCAGCAUUAUAGCCAUGAAGCAGAAACAACCCAAGUGUCUACUGACAGAUGAAUGGAUAAACAGAAUGUGGUUGAUGCGUACAAUGGAAUGUUAUUCAGCCUUAAAAAGGAACGAAAUUCUGAUACACCCUACAACACGGGUGAACCUCGAAGACACUGCUGUCCUAAGUGAAAUAAGCCAGACAUACUUAUAUGAACGAGGUACAUAAAAGAGUCAAAUACACAGAGACAGCUGAACGGUGGUUACCAGGGGUGAUGCAGAGUUACGGUUCCAUGGGUACAGAGUUUUGGCGCAGGAUCGUGAAAAAGUGCUAGAGCCAGAGACGCAUGGUGGUGAUGACUGCAUAACAAUGUGAAUGUAGUAAACACCGCUGAACCGAACGUGGAAAAACAGUCGAAAUGGGUGGCCUAAACAUAAAGCGAGAACUACAAACUUGACUGCCUACCAGGGAAAGACACUGAAAGUGAACCAGCAGAGGACAAACACGAAUGGUCAGAGCAGUGACUCAAUGAGAAGCACAAUUCUUACCUAAAUGCAUUUUAAAAACAACAAAUCUCAACACUAUGCGAGCCAAAGAAAACUUACAUCUCAGGCUAAUGUGGCCUACAGACUUCCAGACCUCUGUGUGCUUUGCCAAAUGUCUCCUCGAAGGGAAAAUCGUGUGGCAGAGAAUAAAAGCUUAAAAAGAAAAAAAAAAGCACAAAUCUCCAAGAUUCCUUUCUCAUAAAGGGGCCUACUCGUACAAGUAAGUAAGUUCUUCUCUUCCCUAUUCUCGUUUUCUACAAGAGAACUUAACUAUGACCAGCUAUUAUUUAUGACUAAAUGCAAUUUUUGGAUUAGAAAUAUUGUUACACAUUGAUCCUAAGAUUAAUUUUUUUUUAACAGAUUACAUGAGGUAAAUGGAACAAAGCCUCUGCAUGCCUACCUUGCGCAUCUGACUUAGCAGAUGAAUCAGGACAAGGCACACGGGGUACAGGCCUUGGAGGUCAGAAAACAGGCCAGCAUUUCAUCAAGCCUUGCCUCCUCAGCCAGGUGUUUUGUGCAGCACAUAAUAUACAACUGUAACCCAACAGCUAGAAAUGCUACUUUAAUAAAGGAAGUAUUCGGAUUCUGUGAAUCAGUACUUUCUAGCCUACCGUGUCUCUCUCUUCACCUGAUGGACCACCCGAAAUUUACAAACUAUCUAACAUGUCAAAAUACUUGAAACUCUCGCAAUGACCUUCAGUGGUCGCGUAUGGAACCUCUGACCUGAAUCCUCCCUCCCGUCAAAUACUUCAGGCUGGCUAACAACCGCCCUGCCCACCCCGUUCUUCUCACUUUGCUGUCUGGAGAGGUGGUAUCGUAGCCUGGUUAUGAACUAGGCCUCCCGGCACAGCUCCCACCUGGCUCUCAGUGCCUCAGCUCUGCAG